GUGAGUAAUACAUCGGAACGUGCCCAAUCGUGGGGGAUAACGCAGCGAAAGCUGUGCUAAUACCGCAUACGAUCUACGGAUGAAAGCAGGGGAUCGCAAGACCUUGCGCGAAUGGAGCGGCCGAUGGCAGAUUAGGUAGUUGGUGAGGUAAAGGCUCACCAAGCCUUCGAUCUGUAGCUGGUCUGAGAGGACGACCAGCCACACUGGGACUGAGACACGGCCCAGACUUCUACGGGAGGCAGCAGUGGGGAAUUUUGGACAAUGGGCGAAAGCCUGAUCCAGCCAUGCCGCGUGCAGGAUGAAGGCCUUCGGGUUGUAAACUGCUUUUGUACGGAACGAAACGGCCUUUUCUAAUAAAGAGGGCUAAUGACGGUACCGUAAGAAUAAGCACCGGCUAACUACGUGCCAGCAGCCGCGGUAAUACGUAGGGUGCAAGCGUUAAUCGGAAUUACUGGGCGUAAAGCGUGCGCAGGCGGUAAUGUAAGACAGUUGUGAAAUCCCCGGGCUCAACCUGGGAACUGCAUCUGUGACUGCAUUGCUGGAGUACGGUAGAGGGGGAUGGGAUUCCGCGUGUAGCAGUGAAAUGCGUAGAUAUGCGGAGGAACACCGAUGGCGAAGGCAAUC
rnacentral:rRNA from 1 species